rnacentral:rRNA from 1 species
GACGAACGCUGGCGGCGUGCCUAAUACAUGCAAGUUGAGCGCUGAAGGUUGGUACUUGUACCAACUGGAUGAGCAGCGAACGGGUGAGUAACGCGUGGGGAAUCUGCCUUUGAGCGGGGGACAACAUUUGGAAACGAAUGCUAAUACCGCAUAAAAACUUUAAACACAAGUUUUAAGUUUGAAAGAUGCAAUUGCAUCACUCAAAGAUGAUCCCGCGUUGUAUUAGCUAGUUGGUGAGGUAAAGGCUCACCAAGGCGAUGAUACAUAGCCGACCUGAGAGGGUGAUCGGCCACAUUGGGACUGAGACACGGCCCAAACUCCUACGGGAGGGAGCAGUAGGGAAUCUUCGGCAAUGGACGAAAGUCUGACCGAGCAACGCCGCGUGAGUGAAGAAGGUUUUCGGAUCGUAAAACUCUGUUGGUAGAGAAGAACGUUGGUGAGAGUGGAAAGCGCAUCAAGUGACGGUAACUACCCAGAAAGGGACGGCUAACUACGUG